rnacentral:lncRNA from 1 species
GAGAAUUAUGGUGGUGGUGAUAGUGAUGAAUUGCAAUACAGCGGAGAUAGUGAUGAUGAUAUGGAGAGUCAGCGGGAUGACCGCUACCACAUCAAGAACCGGAAGGUGAGGCCAAUUACAGCGGCCAAUGGCAAUGGGAUUGGGCUUGGGGCUGUCAAUGCCAAUGGCAGAGGGAAAAGCGGGCUUGAGAAGGGGAAGGAUGCAUAUCCCUACCUGUGGGAGACUGUUGAGGAGCUGUCCAAGGAGCAUCCGAGUGGUGCGGCAUUCAAGAAGGCAUUUGAGGUGCUCGAAGGAUCAAAAGCGCGGGCCAUUGAGGAAAAGCUGAGGAGGUUUAGGUUGACGGAGAUCAGACAGCAGCUGCGUAGGAUGGACCUGAUGAAGGAGACGGUGAGGAUGGUGCUCGAUGCCCUUGAGAGUGCUGACUGAAUAAUGGCUGAUCGAUAGUGAUUGGUAAACUGUUGGAAGGGGGAAAUCAGUCUUUUUGUUUCUAGAUAGACUAUAUGUGGUUAAUUACUUACUUCCCUGGACAAGGUUGCAGUUGCCUCCAUCAAAAUUAGGCAUAGAACAUGGAGUGAUGGUCUUCUCCUUGUUAUUGUUCAUGGAUCAUUGUAUUUUGUGAUUCUUAGGUGCUAACUUGUGGUUUAUAUGCUAUUUGGUUGUGUCAAAUCAGGGUUCUUGCAUCCUCGUUUUGAAUGCUACAUAUCCCCCCCUUUG